AGCGAACGCUGGCGGCAGGCCUAACACAUGCAAGUCGAACGGAUCCUUCGGGAUUAGUGGCGGACGGGUGAGUAACACGUGGGAACGUGCCCUUUGGUUCGGAUCAACUCAGGGAAACUUGAGCUAAUACCGGAUGUGCCCUUCGGGGGAGAGGUUUAUCGCCAUUGGAGCGGCCCGCGUCUGAUGAGCUAGUUGGUGAGGUAAAGGCUCACCAAGGCGACGAUCAGUAGCUGGUCUGAGAGGAUGAUCAGCCACAUUGGGACUGAGACACGGCCCAAACUCCUACGGGAGGCAGCAGUGGGGAAUCUUGCGCAAUGGGCGAAAGCCUGACGCAGCCAUGCCGCGUGAAUGAUGAAGGUCUUAGGAUUGUAAAAUUCUUUCACCGGGGACGAUAAUGACGGUACCCGGAGAAGAAGCCCCGGCUAACUUCGUGCCAGCAGCCGCGGUAAUAC
rnacentral:rRNA from 1 species